rnacentral:tmRNA from 1 species
CCGCCUGCCGACGUCCUUCGAAUGUGGGAAGUGCAAAACAGUUACGAGAAUAUUUUUGGGUACUCGGCCUUCGUCUCGUUCUGCAUCUGAAAAUUCCUGCGAGUGGUCAGAGGUCUUUGCAGUCCUCGGGUUGCUUCCUUGCGAUGGUGAGGGGACCCCGCCCGAGAGGGCACGGUCGAUCGAAUGGCCGGCAUCGGACUGGAGUAAGUAGAGCCCGACGUCAUCUUUUUGUCUGUGAACAGUCUCACAAAAAUGGUUGGUUGGUUGGUUGCACGCAAGAAACCGUCGUGCCAAAAACCUUUCUCACUAUCAUUGUACACCCGCCCGUGGGACCCUCCGGCGCGCGAUGGCGCAGUCGAAUAGUGUCGGUCGGCUGCGCGGCGCGUCGAGCAAUAGACACAGGCACAGGACGGUUUCGAAAGAAACAGCGAUUACCCGUGGUAUUCCGCACUGGAAACUAUGUGGGGGGUGAAACAGCCUCAGGUUGCGCUCCUCCGUUGGAAGGUUGCGGUAGCCCGUAAAGGUAUUCGCUAUUAUCAUAUUCCCAAUGAACAUUCUUCGUGAUUGGGAGAGACUGGUAAAGGACAUAAAGUGACGCAGUGCUUGCUGAAGCCUCCGAUUUCAAUUUCAACUCCCUCGCAAUGCGAUCCUCCCGUGGUUGCGAAGUCCAACCGUCGCUGCGCGACGGGACUCUCGGUGGAAACGAGGGUCGCCACUUAUACGCACACGUAGUCGUGUGCUCUCUGUGCUAAGCUGCGCAAACGUUUGCGCGCUGCUCACGCAGAAGGUGCUAAUUGGCCCAGAGGCAAAUUCCGGGUUUUCGGUACUCGCAUGCGCCAAGUCUUGCGACCGCCCCAUUUGAGACGUAGAGCUUCGGGCAUGCGUCGGUGGUGGGUGUCGGCGCUCGAGACGAGGCUGCAGGGACGCGAGGUGGACUCGUGAACGGAGUCUCUGGGUUGCAACGGGCUUUGCCGACUGGUGAGAGCGACGUAGAACGGCGCGAAUAUGGCUCGGCACUCGAGAGCUAGCCUUCGUGCGGGACGCGAACGCAAAGACGUACGACAGGGGAGAUGCCAACGUGCUACUCCUGUCGGCGCUCGCAACCGCCCUUAGGACCGACGUUAAGACCGACGGGCUCGUCGGCAGGAGCACGGAGCUUUGCAGAGAGCUCUUGCUCCCUUCCUUUGCGACCGCUGGCAGAGUGCCCAACGUGGAGGCCGAAUGUGGAGAAACGCUCCUUCUCCCGAGUCUCCUGGCGCUCUCCUGGCGCUUCAGGGUUGCUUUUGGAGGAAGGGAGACGCACCUUACGUGGUUGUCGUAUUCGUGGGCUCUCUUUCAGACCGGAGUCCCUGUCAAGUGGCGACGGGCGGUUCAUCUCUGACCAGCCGUGCGCCCCCUUUCGAGCACAUGAACUCGUCCUCGAGGGGUUGUCCGUAACGGACUUUCCGUCUGUCCGGCGCGACGGGUUCCGGCCGUCUCCCGUUCCGGCCGUCUCCGGCACGGGGGGCAUUGGCCGUUAUUCAUUAUGUUGCCCGCGGCAAACAGGGCAGCGGCUCGCAAGAGCAGCCCGUCCAACUCUUUCGAAAAGACGCGCAGCGGAAGAGCGGCGGGGGGGUGAAACAACGUAACUCCCCCCGCUGCGGGAAAGGCGCCGCUGCGGCGUGUUAUGUGACACCCGAUGUGUGUGACACCAGAGUCACGGGAGAAGAAGUCCGCAAGACGCGUAAUUCUCCGGGGGAGUGAGGCUCUGGAGUGGCGUCAAAGUGAGUGCGGAACUUCUCCAAGUCGUACGUGACCCGCCGCGGCGGGGGGUGAAACAACGAAACUCCCCCGCUUCGGUUUCGUGUGUCUAUGCCGAGGUCGCGAAGCAGAAAAGUCAGCUUUCGGCAGACGCGUAAUUCUCCGGCGAAGCCGCGAGUGGCGUGCUGGAAUGGACUUUUCUCCAGUUGGAACGCGACCUACCGCUUAGGCGGAUUGGUGUAUCUCGGCCGUGGUCCUUGCGGCCGCGAGUCCGCUCUCGCAAAAGCGUUAAAUCUCUGGGCAGACCCCCCACCCCGGAGUUGCGCGAGAGCGUGUCUUGUGCCAAAUAAGUUGAUCGGCGGCCCAAGCAGGGGGGUGAAACAGCGUAACUCCCCCUGCUGCUGGUGCCGCUGCGGCGUUUUACACCACGGCUCCACUUCGGGUGCGCUACGCGCAGCGCCGAAGUAGCAAAGAGUUUCGGGUUUCUCGAAGAGUCGGUGCCCGACUUGCUGCGUAUAUGGGCAACGUACCACAUAGAGAUUUGGUCAUUACAC